rnacentral:rRNA from 1 species
GAUGAACGCUAGCGGCAGGCCUAAUACAUGCAAGUCGAACGGUGUAGCAAUACACAGUGGCGCACGGGUGCGUAACACGUAUGCAACCUACCUUACAUUGGGGGAUAGCCUUUCGAAAGGGAGAUUAAUACCGCAUAAGACAGUAACUAGGCAUCUAGUAGCUGUUAAAGAUUUAUCGAUGUAAGCUGGGCAUGCGUCCAAUUAGUUAGUUGGCGAGGUAAUGGCUCACCAAGACGAUGAUUGGUAGGGGAACUGAGAGGUCAAUCCCCCACACGGGCACGGAGAUACGGGCCAGGAUCCCACGGGAGGCAGCAGUAGGGAAUAGUGGGCAAUGGGCGCAAGCCUGACCCAGCCAUGCCGCGUGCAGGAAGAAGGCGUUAUGCGUUGUAAACUGCUUUUAUACAGGAAGAAACGACCCUUGCGAGGGGCAUUGACGGUACUGUAUGAAUAAGCACCGGCUAACUCCGUGCCAGCCGCCGCAGUAAGAC